rnacentral:rRNA from 1 species
CCUACGGGAGGCAGCAGUGGGGAAUAUUGCACAAUGGGCGAAAGCCUGAUGCAGCGACGCCGCGUGAGGGACGACGGCCUUCGGGUUGUAAACCUCUUUCAGCAGGGACGAAGCGCAAGUGACGGUACCUGCAGAAGAAGCACCGGCUAACUACGUGCCAGCAGCCGCGGUAAUACGUAGGGUGCAAGCGUUGUCCGGAAUUACUGGGCGUAAAGAGUUCGUAGGCGGUUUGUCACGUCGUUUGUGAAAACUCACAGCUCAACUGUGAGCCUGCAGGCGAUACGGGCAGACUUGAGUACUGCAGGGGAGACUGGAAUUCCUGGUGUAGCGGUGAAACGCGCAGAUAUCAGGAGGAACACCGGUGGCGAAGGCGGGUCUCUGGGCAGUAACUGACGCUGAGGAACGAAAGCGUGGGUAGCGAACAGGAUUAGAUACCCUGGUAGUCCACGCCGUAAACGGUGGGCGCUAGGUGUGGGUUCCUUCCACGGAAUCCGUGCCGUAGCUAACGCAUUAAGCGCCCCGCCUGGGGAGUACGGCCGCAAGGCAAACUUAAAGNUAGUGCGNGNGAGNGCGCGACGCGACGAGAGGAG